rnacentral:rRNA from 1 species
GACGAACGCUGGCGGCGUGCUUAACACAUGCAAGUCGAGCGGUAAGGCCCUUCGGGGUACACGAGCGGCGAACGGGUGAGUAACACGUGGGUGAUCUGCCUCGUACUUCGGGAUAAGCCUGGGAAACUGGGUCUAAUACCGGAUAUGACCUUGGACUGCAUGGUCUCUGGUGGAAAGAUUUAUCGGUACGAGAUGGGCCCGCGGCCUAUCAGCUUGUUGGUGGGGUAACGGCCUACCAAGGCGACGACGGGUAGCCGGCCUGAGAGGGCGACCGGCCACACUGGGACUGAGACACGGCCCAGACUCCUACGGGAGGCAGCAGUGGGGAAUAUUGCACAAUGGGCGAAAGCCUGAUGCAACGACGCCGCGUGAGGGAUGAUGGCCUUCGGGUUGUAAACCUCUUUCGACAGGGACGAAGCGCAAGUGACGGUACCUGUAGAAGAAGCACCGGCCAACUACGUGCCAGCAGCCGCCGUAAUAC